AUUGAACGCUGGCGGCAGGCCUAACACAUGCAAGUCGAACGGUAACAGAAAGCAGCUUGCUGCUUUGCCGACGAGUGGCGGACGGGUGAGUAAUGUCUGGGAAACUGCCUGAUGGAUGGGGAUAACUACUGGAAACGGUAGCUAAUACCGCAUAACGUCGCAAGACCAAAGAUGGGGACCUUCGGGCCUCUUGCCAUCGGAUGUGCCCAGAUGGGAUUAGCUAGUAGGUGGGGUAACGGCUCACCUAGGCGACGAUCCCUAGCUGGUCUGAGAGGAUGACCGGCCACACUGGAACUGAGACACGGUCCAGACUCCUACGGGAGGCAGCAGUGGGGAAUAUUGCACAAUGGGCGCAAGCCUGAUGCAGCCAUGCCGCGUGUAUGAAGAAGGCCUUCGGGUUGUAAAGUACUUUCAGCGGGGAGGAAGGGAGUAAAGUUAAUACCUUUGCUCAUUGACGUUACCCGAAGAAGAAGCACCGGCUAACUCCGUG
rnacentral:rRNA from 1 species